AGGUUCCCAUUGAAAGCUGCUGGAGUGAUGCAUACAGUUGCACUGCGAACAGAAGCAACCAUUACUACUAGUACUGAAAUGCCACCUAAUCUUGGUCAAGCCUUCAAGGUAAAGCUGCAGCUUGAUUUCCUUCUUUCUAAACUUUGCUAUCUAAUCCAUACUGACAAUAACGAUGUUUACAGAACCAUAUGAGUGAGAUGUUUGCAUACCAUGCAACCAUGAUGUCAAACACGCUUGGAACUUCAACUGUUGUCUUCACCAGAACUGGUUUCAUGGCCAUACUUUUAAGUCACUAUCGCCCUUCUGGCACCAUCUAUGCCUUCACGAAUGAGUUAGUACUCCAUGUUUAUUCUUUUCAAAAAUAAAUGACUGACAACUGGUUAGAUUUUAAGAACUCACGGUAGAGGUUUUGCUCUGCAGGAAAAAAAUACAGCAAAGAUUAGCCUUGUAUCAAGGGGUGUGCCCCAUAUAUAUGGAGUUCUCAGAUGAUGCAGAGGACACUUUCACUAAAGCUUUGGCUACAUUACUGGUAAACUCAAAAGGAUCUCUUUGAAAGAAAACUAUAUGUAGCUUUCUAUUUUAUAUUUGGAAAUAUACUAGAUAUUUUGUGGUUAUGGGGAUUAAGAGUUUGAGUUGGUAACUUUUGGAUGAACAGAAACAAGGAAUGGUGAAGAAGGGAGAGGAAAUAGCGAUUGUACAGAGUGGGUCACAACCAAUCUGGCGGUCUCAAUCGACUCAUAACAUCCAAGUCCGCAAGGUGUAGAGCCUUUUCAGGAGUCUCAAUAUCUCACCUGGUCAGUGUGUUUUUUUCGUUUAUCUGUAAAACCGUUUUCGGUUAACUUUCCUUGCACGUCCUUGUGUACUCUAAAUCCUACUGUUUACUGUAUCUUAUUCAGUUUGUUUUACUUUGGCAGACGUUGUUGUUAGCUCAUUAGUUGUUUGUGAGACAAAUGUUAAUUUAGAUUGAGUAAUAAAUGUGUGAGAAUCCUCUAAUACACAGCUAUGUUGUUGUACUUGGGUAAAAUGUUACUGUAAAAACUAAAAAACGGAAGAUGCAACUAAGUAACUGUGAAAGAUUAAAGGAUCCUACUGUUCUUGGUAUAGAGAUUUGCCAUGCAGAAUUCUGUAUGAUGAAUAUGCAAACUUACGGCCUUGGCCAUUUGAAUCAAUUAAUCCCAACACAAAUUAUGCAAACUUCUGCUAAAAACUCUAGUAUUGGCAAGAUUUUGUAAUAUAAAAUACAAUGAGAUUUCAUUUACAUUUAGGGUUUGGAGUAGCUCCCUGUUUGCAACAUAAAUUCUAACAAAAGACAACUCUGCUCAUUCUAAUUGUAAGUGGGACUUUAAGUGUAGUCCUUAUUUCAGUGUUUAAGAUAAUACAAAAAGAGUUUGCCUAAGAAUCAUCAUCCUGAAACAAAGCCUUUGGUACGGAACUACGAGGCAGUGUCCCACACUCGUAUUCAUCUCUGUCAUCAGUUCGUGUUCGUUUGUUAUCUCCUGUCACUGGUGUCUCGCAUACUCUGUCAUAGUCCACUGAUCUAUGUUCGUUCUUCCGUUUGCCUAAUCUCUUUUGCUGUUCCGCUUUGUCUUUAGAGUUCUUUGCUUGUUUCGGUGCCCAAACUCUACAAAGAUCAGGCAUCCAACUUGUGAAACUCGAGAAUCUUCUUGCCCUUUCCCUCAUUUCUUGUGCUUCAACUACUUUCCUAGCUUCUCUGCACUCCCUGCUCUCUUUCUUCAAAAGGUUCUUCUUACUCGAACUAGGGUUUUUGGAAUGUGAAAUUUAGGAUUCUAAUAAAUAUAUAAAUAAAUACUUAAAAAAUAUAUAAAAAAUUUCAAAAAAUAGUUUCAAACAUAAUUUUCGUUUUUCAAAAAGAAAUUUGAAAAAAAAAAUUAAAAAAAAUUUCGAAAAAAAAUUUCAAAAAGAAAAAUUAUAAAAAAGUUCGAAUUUGAAAAAGUAUAAUUCGCAAACAUAAAAACAAAUUUAUUUUUUUUAUUUUUUUAUUUUUUUUUAUUUUUAUUAUUUUUUAAUACUUUUUUUAAUUUAAAUAAUGAUUUAUUAUAUAUAUAAUAACAAGGGCAUAAGAAUCUUUUGCCACUUAAUGAAGAAUGUAUUUUUGAAAAUGUCUUUUUAGUGGUGGUAAAAAUGAAAAGUGAUACCAUGAAAGUGGUAAACAUGUGGACAAAACAAUAUAUGUCGUUUCUUAACCUUUAACUAUAAACAUAAAGAUACUGAAAUUUUUUGUUAACAUAUAACUAUGAACAUAAAGAUACUUUGAAAACUUUUAUUUACAUAAUAUAUAGAUUAAUCAAUAUUUUUUGGUCUUAAAUUUAUUAGAUAUACAUAAAAACUAUAAUAUUGUUUGUUAUUGAUAUAUAGUUUUUGAUAUGAGUAGGCGUUCGGAUACUCAUUCGGGUUCGUUUUGGGAUAUACUAGGAUUUUGGAUUUUUGGGCUUAAAGAUUUUAGCCCUAUUUCAGUAUUUAUAAAAUUUGGGUUGGGUUCAUAUUCGUAUCUUUGCGGGUUCGGUUCGGGUUUGAAAAAUCCAUUUAAAUUAUUUUAAAUUUUUUAAAUUUAUUAUAUACUAUAAAUUUUAAUAGCGUAUGUCAAAAUACCUAAACUUAACAAAUAAAUCGGUUUAGCUUGAAUAUUUGGAUAGAGAAUCAAUAGAUAUUUCAAUUAUUUUGAGUAUUAUUUAGCUAUUUUAGACAUUUAAUUUUACCAUUUGUAUAUAUUUCAAGUAUUUUGGUCAAUUUUAAAAUAUCUUUUCUAUUUUAGAUAUUUGUAUAUUAAAGCUAAAAAUAAUUAAAAUAUUUAGAUAUAUAAAUCUAUUUCGGACACACUCGGGAAGCUGGAAUACUUUGGUUUGGAUCCCGUUCCGGUUCUCUAUAUACCAAAAUUUUGGACCGUUCGGAUAUUUAACCAAUUUCGAAUCCAGUUUGGUAAUACUUUAUCGGAUUGAAAAUCGACAUGACCAUCUUCAGCUAAGGUAUUUCUCUUAGGAUGUGUCUGUGCAGUGGAAAUAGUUGAAAGAAUGUGCAAUUAUAGCUGAACAUUAGUAACACAUUAGGAAGACACUCACAAGAGUAGCAAUUGGAGAAGGUGUGAAAUGGGACAUAUUAAUCUUCAAGGUCUAGAAAUGAAGAUUCCUAAACGUUAGGAUACUCAUAAUAGGAGCUGAGAAUUUCAAAUGUAUAGGAUGAAGCUAAAGAGUUAGGACAAAACACAUGAGAAAAGAUUAUUAUAGGAGUAUCUCAUACGAAGAUGGUGAAAAGGGUAACACCAUAUAUGACUAUCACUGAAGGAAGACACUGAUAUUCAGGUUUCGAGGAAAAUAAGGAAGUUGGGUUGAUAACAAAGAUUUUGACAAGAAUAUAAAGAUCGAGAAUGUAAAUCUUUGGUUGUCUUUUGGACGGGAGACAUGUUUUGAGGAGGAAAGAAAAAAAAUCGAAUAUGAACCGAAAGUUAUGACAUUGCCCAUAUAAGACAAGACAAUGUGGCAAGCAUUGAAGUCAGUUUUAGAUACCUUAUAUUGUAUAUAACUAAUGUAAUUGUCUAGGUUUUUAUGUAUCAGAAUGGUGUUGUAUUUUCGCUCUUGUAUAAAAUUUGUACUGAUAAGCUAUAGACUUUUCUUUAGUCUAGUGAAAUUUGAAAAGCAAAAGUUUUCUUCUUCAGACAAAGCGGUUAAAGAUUGCAAAUUGAGUUACCAAUUUGUUGUGCGUUCUUUUAUUGCAUAUAUAUCAGUCUUUAGUUACAGAAAGUUGAACCCUCAUAUUACUGUAUUGAAUAUAAAUUUUCUGUUUUCAUUAAAAUUUUGGUUAAAUUUGUAUAACAGUUUAAUUCCAGUUCGGAAUGUUGACUUGAACAUGAUUCUGAAAAAAAGAACGAUAUGAUUUGGUACAAAUUACUAAACCGAAUUAAAUUUUGCAAAUAUACCGAUCGGUUCAGAGCCCAUACCGAUUCGGUUUUAGAUUAAAAAACCGGAAGGGUUACUUUUAUAUGAUUUGUCACACUCUCUUUCGAUACAAACUAAGCAUUUCUUCGUAAACUCCGCCGAUAUAUCAAACUCUUCACUACUCUUUUAGCGUUUCAACCUCUCUCUCUCUCCCUCCCACUCUCAUUCUUUCGCAACUUCUUCUCCGCGGAAACCAAAAUGGCUCAGGUCGUUGCUACAAGGUCGAUUCAAGGCUCGAUGUUGAGUCCCAACGGUGGAUCUGUUUCCACGAGAUCCGACAAGCUUCUGAAGCCGGCGAGUUUCGCAGUGAAGGUUCUUGGCAACGAAUCCAAGAAGAGCGGAAGAGUGUCCGUAAGAGGAGGAAGAAAGGUUGAUACCACUGUGAGAUCCGCUCGUGUGGAGACCGAAGUCAUUCCAGUGUCUCCCGAGGAUGUUCCAAACGUAUGUGUAAAAGCUUUAGAUAAGAAAGCAUUUCCAUGUUUUUACUGAAGUGAAUUGUUUUUUUUUUUUACUGUGUGGUUAAUUAGAGAGAGGAGCAACUGGAGCGGUUUUUGGAAAUGCAGAAGUUUAGUGACACAUCGGUAGGGAUGUGGUCGAAACCGACAGUGAGGAGGAAGACUAAGAUUGUGUGCACCGUUGGUCCUUCUACCAACACACGAGAGAUGAUAUGGAAACUGGCUGAAGCUGGGAUGAAUGUUGCAAGGAUGAACAUGUCUCAUGGGGAUCAUGCUUCUCAUAAGAAGGUUAUUGAUUUGGUCAAAGAGUACAAUGCGCAAUCUAAGGACAACACCAUUGCCAUCAUGCUUGAUACCAAGGUUUUGUUUUUUUUUUUGUUUCCCAUUUAAUUCAAAGUUUUAUUCUCUUUUUUUAUUUUUAAAGUAUAUUUUCUUCAUUGUUCUUUAGGGUCCAGAAGUUAGGAGUGGAGAUUUACCCCAGCCGAUUAUGUUAGACCCUGGUCAAGAGUUUACUUUUACAAUUGAGAGAGGAGUCAGCACCCCAAGUUGUGUCAGUGUUAACUAUGAUGAUUUUGUCAACGAUGUGGAGGCUGGAGACAUGCUCCUUGUUGAUGGUAUGUGUUGAUCUCUCAUUACUUGGUGUAAAAGGAUUUUUUGUUGUUCUCCAAUAUAGUGGGAAUGAUUGUUCUAUGUUUCAGGUGGUAUGAUGUCGUUUAUGGUGAAGUCUAAGACUAAAGAGACUGUCAUAUGUGAGGUUGUUGAUGGUGGAGAACUAAAGUCAAGGAGACACUUGAAUGUCCGAGGGAAAAGUGCAACAUUACCUUCAAUCACUGGUUCGACCUUCUGUUUCACCCUCUUUAUUUAAUUCUGAAUGAUCUUGCUCUGAUAUAUCUAUUUUGUAAUUCUUUUCUUUUUAUUUCAGAGAAGGAUUGGGAGGAUAUUAAGUUCGGAGUGGAGAACAAAGUUGACUUCUAUGCGGUUUCUUUUGUCAAAGAUGCACAAGUAGUGCAUGAACUGAAGAAUUACCUUCAAGGUUGUGGUGCCGAUAUUCACGUGAUAGUAAAAAUUGAAAGCGCAGACUCCAUACCCAACUUGCAUUCCAUUAUCACCGCAUCAGAUGGGGUAAUUUUUUUUUCCCAUCAACGUUCUUUCCUUUUACAACAACAUGUUGGAGAUUGUUAUGUGAAACUAUUUAUAUAGAGGAUUGUGCUGCUUAAUGAGAUGUGUAUACUUCUUCCACAGGCAAUGGUUGCAAGAGGUGAUCUUGGUGCUGAGCUUCCUAUUGAGGAAGUACCCAUUCUUCAGGUUAGCGCUUGCUUCUCAUUUAAGAUAAACCAAGAAAACGAGCUCCUCAAAUUCAACAGCUUUGCUAUUGAUAUGCAGGAGAGGAUCAUUAACCUAUGCCGUAGCAUGGGAAAAGCUGUUAUUGUUGCAACUAACAUGCUUGAGAGUAUGAUAGUUCAUCCGACUCCAACCCGAGCGGAGGUUUCUGAUAUUGCUAUAGCUGUUAGAGAAGGUGCUGAUGCAGUCAUGCUUUCAGGAGAAACUGCUCACGGAAAGUAAGUGACUGAUUUAGCUCAUGUUUGUUUGGAUAUAGAAAGUAUUGACUGAGCUUUACUUUGGUAACAGGUUCCCAUUGAAAGCUGCUGGAGUGAUGCAUACAGUUGCACUGCGAACAGAAGCAACCAUUACUACUAGUACUGAAAUGCCACCUAAUCUUGGUCAAGCCUUCAAGGUAAAGCUGCAGCUUGAUUUCCUUCUUUCUAAACUUUGCUAUCUUAUCCAUACUGACAAGAACGAUGUUUACAGAACCAUAUGAGUGAGAUGUUUGCAUACCAUGCAACCAUGAUGUCAAACACGCUUGGAACUUCAACUGUUGUCUUCACCAGAACUGGUUUCAUGGCCAUACUCUUAAGUCACUAUCGCCCUUCUGGCACCAUCUAUGCCUUCACAAAUGAGUGAGUAAUAAAUGUUUAUCCUUCCAGAACAACUGGUAGAUGUUAAGAACUAACGGUAGAGGCUUUUCUUCUGCAGGAAAAAAAUACAGC
rnacentral:lncRNA from 1 species